rnacentral:tRNA from 1 species
GUCCUAGUAGCUCAGCCUAAGAGCGCCGGUCUUGUAGUCCGGAGGUCGGGGGUUAAAUUCCCCCCUAGUACC